GCAGAAUCGAUGUGGGAUGCAUCAGUUAUGGUACUCUUGUAUUUUGAUGGCAGAGUAUGAGAACUUGUAGUAAAAUGUGCUUGGUUCCCUGCCUUCUAAUUGAAUGAAAGUAUAUUCGAGUAUGAGCAUAUAGCAACGUGUCAUUAUUAAAUCCAUAGUGUCUGGACACUUAGGGCAUGGUUGAGAAAUUGGAAUGCCACAUUGAUGCUUUUGGGGCUUUUUCUCCAAAAUGAAAAACCUUUUACAUUACUUGCCUGCCAUCACCUCCACUCUGGGAUUUUUUCAGUAUGAUUAGUUAAAAAACGUUGAGUUGGAUUCAAAUGAUAUAAACGUU
rnacentral:misc_RNA from 1 species